rnacentral:lncRNA from 1 species
GGAAAACCGCAGCACAACAUUGGUGUUGAAGGGGAAGUAAGGAAAAUCCUGAAUAGGUUAAAAAUGACACACAGAGGAGGAAUCAAAUGCAACACCAUUGCAGUUUCUCACUCAAAGGAGAAUAGAAUCCAACAAACAUAUUGUAACCAAUACACUAAAAAUUAUGUGGAUGUGGAAUCAAGAAAUAUAAUGUCAUGUUCCUAGAUGAAAGGCACAAUCCUGGAGGGGCUACCAGUGCCAUCACAAGCUCCUUCCAGAUGUGAUGACUCUCCUCUGCUGAAGUCUAGGUUGUCGUAACACGCUGGAGUGUGCUGUCCAUGGUGCUGAGGAGCCAGUGCCAAAUAUACCCCUGCUACAAAAUCCUCUCCCUUCUGGCCAAGUGAUCGAUUAGAUGGAGCAGCAUCAAACUCUGCAUUUCAGAGCUUUGCAGGGGCCUGGAGACGGCUAUAAAAG